CUAAAGCGAACUGCGGAGGAUCAUUA
rnacentral:rRNA from 1 species